rnacentral:lncRNA from 1 species
AAUAAGCCUAAAUUAUGGAUAGCUAUUUGGCAUUUUCACUUUUUUCUCAUUCAGCUCAGCUCGCCGGAAAAUUGCUCGGUGAUGACCGAUGUAAUUAGGGUUCCGCCGUCGCCGGUGAUAGAAAUUAUCAACACGGCCACAUUAAUAAAGCGCCGGAAAAUUGCUCGACGAUGACCGAUGCAAUUAGGUUUCCUCCGUCUCCGGUGGUAGAAAUUAUCAACACGGCGACAUCAAUAAAGGCAGUAGAAGUAGAACAAUUAUUCAAGUAUAAAUUCAACAACACGAAGCUUCUAGAAGAAUCUCUUACUCACUUGAUGUAUAAAAAUUACAAAAAUUACAAGCUGUUCAGCAGAUUGCAUUUUGGCGAUCCUUAUUAAUCGGGGCUUUGCCAUCAGCAACCAUCUGCAGACAAUCGAUGAUGCUACGCUACUGAAGCAUCCGAUGUUGAUGUCGUUUGAGAGAGAUUGAGGUAAAUUUGUCAUUUUAACGUCCUCAAUCAAUACUUUCCUUCAGCUUUCUAUAUGUUCGAAAUAAACAAAACAAAUGUACGAAAUUCACCAUUUGAUUAAAAAUCUCUGCACAGUUAAUGAUGAAAUAACUUUGCUUGCGCCAUUUGUGUUCCUAGAUAACCUAGAUGAUGAAGUUAGAAAUUUUGUUAUUUAUAUUUAUGAUUAUUUUAGUUUUUGUGUUUGUGGGUUAACGUAUUUAUUGUAUCAAUUAAUAAAAGGAUAUGUAUGAAAAAACAAAAUAUGGGAAAUAGUGUUUUCGCAUCAAGAAGGGAGCCUUGGAGUAACUGGUGAAGUUGCUUCCAUGUGAUGAGGUAGCUACGAGUUCAAGCCUUGGGAACAACCUAUGGCAUAAAUGCAAAGUAAGGUUACGUACAAUACACCCUUGUAGUGGGGCGUAGUGGGAGCUUUAGUGCACUAGCUGCCAUUUUAGUAUUUUCACUUUAAAAAUAGAUACAACGUUCAUUUAAAUGACAAAAUAAAUUUAGAUACAUGGCAUAGUAGUUGAACUAGCUGCACGACAUAGUAGUUGAAUUCAAAAUAAUUGAGUAGCUUCUGAAUUGUAAUUUAGAUUGCUGUGUUGCUCAGACUCUUCAAAAAUAUCUAUUGGAUGCUUGUUGGAUCCUUCAAAAGUAGUGCAUUUUUAAAGGUUCCGACACAAACUUGGCAACAAUUUUGGAAAGUUUGAGCAACUUAUUAGAGUAUGAGAAAAUACUAUGUUAUAUUGUUGUAUCUCUCCUGGCAUUUAUUCAUAAACGAAACUCUUGAUUUAUGUACUUUAUCGCUUCCGAUAAAUUUAUAAAAGGAUUGCGGAAGAACUAGCCUAGUUUGUCAAAGCUAAAAUCGUAGAAAUUCCCAAUGAUGUCGAGCAUGGAAUAUAUUGCAUAGGUCAGGUUGCAUGAAAAGGCUAGCGAAAAAACAUGUGCUUAAGUGACAUUCUAACUUAAUAUACGAGGCAGAGGUCAAUAUCUGACCAGUGCCAUCUCUAGGUGGAUUCACCUGAAUUUUUUUUAAAUGUCUUAUUCUAUACACUCUCUAUAGAUAUUUAAUGGAUACCACUUUGCUUGAUAGAUCAUCCUCUCAUGUUCAUAGAAAUUAAUAUAGUCAUAAAUAUAAAUAACAAAAUUUGUAACUUUGCCGCCUAGAUCAAAUGACUGAAGCAAAGUUAUUUGGCUUCACAUGAAAUCAUUGAUGGUGCUGCAAUUCUUAAUCAAACAGUGAAUUUCAUCUUUAUUUUGUUCGAAAGAGAAGAAAGUAUAAAUGGAGAAAAGCAAUACAGAAAACGAAAGGGAAAAAAGAUAGAUAAAAAGAUAGAUAAAAAUAUCCGAUUGAGGCUUUAAGAAUGACAAACUUACCUCAAUCUCUCUCAAUUGGCAUCAGAGGCGAAGCUUCGGGGGUGUCGAAGGUGGAGUAGUGUCGUCGUCUUCUCCCGGUGUCGGAGCUUCGGCUAAAAAGGAUCGCAAAAUGCAGUCUACUAAACAACUUGUGCUUGAACUCAACAACCUUGAUCUUCACAAAAAUGCUCUUCUAGAACUUUCUAAUUUAUUCUUCUCACUUUGACGGUUUGCUUUCAUGUUUCAUUUGUACUUUUGUAUCGGUUUAUUAUUCUGUAGACUCCUCGACAUGAUUGUGUAUAAACUAAUUAUGAAAUUAUGAUAAAUUUUGUAUAAUUGAGAGUUUAGAACUUAGGGUUUCUUCUAUGUACUAGGGUAAAGCUUAAGAAUAAUAGAUGAUGGAGAUACUAGGUUUUGAUGACUAUUGGACACAAUCACUUCAGAGAGUUGAAUUGUAAUUCGAUUCAACGAAAAUUGAGAUGGAAAAUGAUGUUGAUGACGGCUGAAUGUACCUAUUGGAUGCUUGUUAAGAAUAGGAGUAAAAAGAGUUUUUCCGUGUUUCGUUUUACUGACAUUUUGUCUUAUUAUUUCUAUGGACUUCUCGGGCAUGGUUUUGUGUAAUUCGAUUGUGGAUUACGGUGGAAUAUCCGUAUACUUGAAGGUUUAGGACUUAGGGUUUCUUCUGCAUCCUGGGCUAAAAUUUGAGAAUAGUUGAAGAAUGCAUAUUCGAGAUUUUGAUGCUAUCUACAGAGAGUUGAAUUGUUAUUGUAUUCACCAAAAAUUAAGAUGGAAAAUGACGUUGAUGACUUAUUGCCUCCGUUUUCAUUCCUCUUCC